CUUUAAAACACGUCUCUGGAUUGAAGGCAGACUCCUGAGGUUGCUGCAAGUUUAAUGAAUUUGAAGAAAGAAUCAUACUGGCAAGCAAAGAUUGUCCAUUAGCCUGCAGAGCUUCUGGAGAAAUUUCUGAUCCUUCAAGAGGCUUACAUUGUGAGAAGACUGAAUUUGGAGGAUUCUCUGCUGAUGAAGGAAAUAGAGACAUUGGACCAUUUUCCGCAGGCAAAGGAAGAAAAGGAUCUGAACCACCAUCAAUAUUCAGAGGCAUAACUGUUUUUGCCAGAUCAUCCAACUGGGAAGGAACAGUUUUGCUUUUCCCCUGCCUUGCCACCUUGAAGAUACAGGUAUCUUCAGGACAUUGCUUUUUGCAUGGCUCUGAAAGGAAUAUGGUCUAUGCAUUUUAAAGAUACCAUUUGUACAUCAAAAACUCAUUAGUAAAAAAACUGUUUUCCUACUUGCCACAUGAAUACCUACAAACUGUGAUUUCAAACUACAACUCAUGAAAGUGAUGAAAUAAACAUCAUCAACCAAAGUGCAGAAGACUUCUAUUCAUUUCAGUCAAUGCCAGAGGACUCGGACACACAUUUAGGCAAACAAUCCAGUCAACAUCCCAACCACAUCCCCCAUGGACCUCUGCUAUCAUGUCUACGGUAACUUGAUGGAUUGCAAACUAAUCCCUACACCAUGGCAGGUUGCAUGGAGUCUGUCCUAUUAAGAUGACCAGUUUUGCUGUUUGCUUCUUGAGGGAUGUAAACACACAGAAAGCUGAGAGUAAGAGAGAGCACUUUUGGCUGUUUGAUGUCCUGCCGAAAGCAGGGUCAUUAUGAUGUAUGGUUUGGAGGAAUAUAUUGACGGAGCUGUGUGUAUCCUGAAGAACAGAGACCCAAUAGCCUUUAUGGGCAACCUGUUUCUGAGUGUUUAGAAUUCCAUUUAUUAUGAUUUUCCUCCACCAGUACCUAGAGAAGCGGUCCCACAAGUUCUCAACAGAGGGAUUAAUCCUCAUCAAACUGGUGCAAGCACAGCUGAGUGUGUAGCAGGUGCUCAGUCAGGGCACACUGGAGCUGCUCAGGAGAACAGCUGGGCUGCUGCCCCAGAGCUGGUCCCAAGCCUCUUCAGGUGCAUGGGGCUACACUCCCUCCCACCCCCCAGCUUUGUGCUCACCCUAGCCAAACCACGUGUCAGUGCAUUCCACCCAGAUGCUGAGUUCCCUCCCAACAGUCUCUCUGACCUCUCUCUUACUUUGCUUGCUCCCACCAAAUCACUAUCAUCCACAAAACUGCUGAAGAUGUGCUCUGUCCCUUCAUUCAGUUGCUAAUAAAGAAGUUAAGAAACUAUUUGCUCCAGUAUUGAGCUUGCACAGGAAGCACAAGUAGCUGGCUGCCAUCUGGACUUCAUACGACUAAGUGUUGGGGACCCACACUUCAGGCAGUGGACUAUUUCAUAGAUUUGUUUCUAAGAAUACUAUGGGAGAUGAAAUACUAUGACCUGCUGAUGUCUGGCAGAAAAACAUCUGCCAUUAUGCCCUUGUCUGCAGAACCACCUACUUCACAGAAGGAAAUCAGGUUUGUCUGUGUGAAAGCAUGUUACAGAGCGCAUACUGUCAAGGACAUUUAGCAAAAGUCACAGUUCUUUUUCAUAAGGUCGGCUGUAAUCAAACAAAUUUUGACAACAUUGUUUCAAUUCCGACAAAGUUUGUUCUGGUAAAAAAAAAAAUCAGAGCCCUCUGAGCAACAAAGUUCUUUUGCUACAGAGUCCCACACACACCUGAAUAAGAAACAGAACAAAGUGGUUCUCAACUCAUUUAACAACAAAUAUUGAAAAUUUGUUUAGUUUCUACCAUAUCAGUGCAACUAUCUAAAAGGACUUGCUCUUGUUUGGGAUACAAUGCAACUCAAAUGAUAAAAUGGAACUUGGUGCAAGUUUAUGUAUCAGAAAGUAAGAAAACCAAUGUUAACUAUUGUAGAAAUGCAAGCCAUCAUAUUAAAAAACAAGACAAAACAAAACUAGGUUUAUUCCUGUCUUCAAAUCUAGCUUAGCUAAAAAGCUGAGCUUAAGUUAAAUUCAGCAUUGUCUAUGUUGGCUGUCUUUACUGACUUAGCCAGUGGUAACAUUAAGAACAUACUUAAAAUUCUUACAUUUUAAUAUGCAAAUAAAUACUCUCAAUAAAAAAUGUCAACUAUACCAAACUGAAUCAGCAAUCUGUUUCAUGUGGUCAUUUGCAAUUACAAUACCAUCACCAUGUUAUAUAUUGUACACUCAAAACAAAGGCACAAAGGUAUCUCAUUCAAGGACAUAACAGGUAAGAAUUAUGCAAGUUUUGGCAAACUGAUUCACUAAAGCCUGGUUUGGUUUUAAAUGAGAUCUUACUACACAAUCAAUAUGUAAAGAAGUUACGUAGUCUACCUCUCUCCUGCAGCAGAAGAUGCUUCUAAGCGUCUAGUGCUUCCUACUGUAACCUUUAACCUGACUGGAAUAUUGUCUGCUUUACUUUAACACUCAAUUUGAUGCUCUCCUAAGAGCAGCAAAACAGCACCACAGAUCAUGGCAGAGAAAUCAAGAAAGAGCAAAACAGAGUUGAAGCAGGUAAGAAAAAACAGAGGAGGACUGUAUAAACAAGAUGACAAUAUUAGCAAACACUAUUUCAAUACCACUUGGCAAUUUUGCUCAAUGCACUAGAAUAAUCAGAUCAGAACAAAGCAACUGCCUUCAAAGAAACUCCAGCAAAAAGCCUCCCUUUGUCCUGAUACUCUCAUAAGCAGAAGUACUAUGAUUUCCAUUAUUGACUUUUCAUAUCCAACAUGUUUAAGGAUUCUAGUGGCAAAACAGCAAAGCUGAACAAAAAACAGCCCAGGAAAGUAUACUAUAUAUUCUUCACUUUUUGGGUCUUGGAGCAGUGUUUUGGAUGGAAACCCUUUCUUCCCUUUGUCCAGCUGAUAUAAAAAAGAGGGAAUAGCAUAAGCUUCGAUUUACAUGAAAGCCACAGACCUGUAGAAGUAACCCUCUCUCCUCAACCUGAUGUUGUUUCUUGUUAAGAAUUCACUAGAGCAAUCAAUACCGCUCCUUUCACGGUACAGUACUUGCAGGAAAUUUAAAAUAAAAAGCACAGUGAUAUAAUCCUUUUUCCUUACGGAGUAAACUUUUUCUUCUUUUAAGUGCUUUGGAAUGACUUGCAUUUUUGUACUGGAGAAAACACCACCCAAGUGCUUUUUGUUAAAAGAGUAUUACAGCUUAACCAAUUUCACACUUGCUUAAAAGACAAUUCUCCCUGUAAAGGGAAAAUGUGAAAACAAGUUGCUGGUGAGACUGAAUAAAAGAGGGACCAACAUGCUAAUGUGAGAAACAACUAAUCUGAAAUUCAGCACAGCAUACUGUUCAUAUUGAUUCACAGAUAUGCUGGGAAAAUUCUUUGCAUUAGUUUGGAAUGCUACUUAGCUCAGACAAUUAGCUUUGUAAUUGGAGAUAAAUGGUUAAAACUAACACUGUCACACAGAAUUACUUCCCUUUCUGAUUAAUUUGAAAAAACCUACUUCUCUUUUUAUACUAAAUAUAUAUUAAAAAAACGCCAAACCAAACCACAACAAUAACCAAUCUCCCAAGUGGCAGCUAACAUAUAAGACCAAGGCAGUAAGAGCAUAAAGUACCAUUCAGUUUUACCCAGCUUUUAUCCUGAUUGUCCAAACUUGCUACAACUAGCCUAGAAGCCAAAUAGUUAAAUCUGGCCAAGUAACUCCUGUCAGUAAGGUGAUAUUUAGGAAGUUGAUCUAUGAAGUCAUGAAUCCUGUUUAAUACUUAAAACACCAUGUUAUUAGUUGAUGUAAAUUUGAAUGUGACCCACCUACUUUUACUCAUCUUCUCUUCAAAAGACCACAGCAAACAACAAGAUUAAUGUAAGCUUUGGUAAAUGAAGGACAUUUCCAACUUAGCUACAAAGCCAGGACAACAUAUCCUGAAGUGUCCCAAAGUGUUGAGGACAAGAAGGAAGAAGAAGGGGUAAGAAAAGAGAAGGAGGUAGGAAGAUAUAAUUGAACAAUUGGUCAUCUAAGCAGUGUGACUGAAGAGUAUCAAGAAUAUUCUCUCCUGCCAUUGCAAAUAUGAGAACCUAAGGAGGAAAACCAACAGGCUCAGUAGAGAGACACUGAUUCAUAACAUGGCAAGUGACCACUGAGACCUUAACAAGAAGAUCAGGAGAUCUCAAGUUUCAUGGUAGGUGGUCAGCAUGCUAAAGAACCACCAGCUAGGCAGUAUCACCAUCCAAUCUCACAAGGGGGAAUACCGAGGACUGCUGAUCCGUUAUAACAAAACCAAGCAGGAAUUCUCCCAGACAAACAGGAACUUUGCAGAAAUACCAUGUAGUCAUUAAUACCAGAAAAUUGGAUGAGAGAAGAAUUAUAAAAGCACUGGCAGAAAUUAUGACAGUCCAAUGAA